CAUGUAUUAUUAUUGUUUUUGCUUUAUGUGAUUAAACAUCAUAGAAUGAGAGUCAAUACUUCUGCAGAGGAAGUUUUUAUAUGUAUGUAUCCAAAGUCAUUCAUAUGAGCCCGAGCCAACCUCUGAUUUGAGAAGGUAGAAUUGAUUACUGGAGGCCUUUACAGCAUUUGUCUUGAGCAUUUGGGUUUGCAGGGGCAUUACUAGAACAGCCCAUGCUGUGUGAGUGGUAUUAAUGACUGAUGGCAGCAGAACUUCUGUAGUCUUGAAGUCCUCCCACAGUUGUCAGCUUUCCCAGAUCCCAGCUCUUGUUAAGAGGAAUAGCUGAGAAGAUAGCGGAGAGACACCUGAUACUCUCUGCUGGAGUCCUAGCCACAGUUACUUACUGUUAAUUAAUCACUGUGCUACAAAGAUAAUCUACGUUCUAUAGUUUUCCUUUUAAAGAAUUUUUCCUUGGCCCAAAUACAGACAUUACCACCUUGAGAAAAUAUUCAGAGGACAAUCAGUGUGCUGUGGAGGAGCAGAGCAGUGGGGUGGCCAAGUGACCUCAUCGCUCCCUGGCUGCUCACACACGCCUUUGGAAAGGCUGACGUCAGGUGUGGUAGAAAAGACCAACACUGCUGACGCAAGAUAUCAGUGACAAUGAAAACCCUAAUAGUGGUUUGCUUUUGAGCACCAAAGACAACUACGUGCAAAGGAACAUAUUAGAGAACAGCCAAUGGCAACGCACACUGCAACAACUUGCUGCCCUCGGCUGGACGCCCGGUCCAGGUCCAAAGGCAGGAGAGCCACAAUUGCUGGAUGAGGUACUGGAGUGAUGGGCUCUGCCCACCCCUGUGCCAGCCCAGGUGCCUCAGUGCCACGCAUCUGGUUCCUGCCUUGCCUGGCAGGACACCAGCCAGGGUGCCUGCACGCGGGGUGAAGUCAUGGAGCUCACGUCAGGACACACGUUGGUGCUUUGGAUAUCCACCUGUGGGGAGCGGUACCGAAACAGGAGCUAAUUUCCUCCUGCAAGUGGCAGGUCACAAUAUGCUAUGCAUAUUGCAAAGGUCUGAAAACCAAUGCCCGUGCAAGAUGUAAUCCAGCCCGUUUCAGUGAACCUCGUGGCAAAUCCUCUCACACCAUCGUGUGUGCUUCUUUCAUUUCCCCUGGAGAUGCCCAGCCUUUGGAGCAGUGAGUCACAACUUCCCCUUCUCCGGAGCCGGCGUCAGAAAUGUUUAAUAAGCUGUGGCCAGGAGAGCCUCUGCAGCCCCGUGUGCAGCAUCACAUCCUGGCAGAGAAGCACCGAGCACCUCCCCUGCCUGCAAGGGCUCUGCUGGUGUCGACCCCACUGCCCACACUGCACUGGGCAGGGCUGAUGGUGUAGCCCAAGGAUGGGAGCACCAGCCCUGCCUCACCCUCCCCACUCGCAGGUUGCACUGAGGUGGAAAGGAUGAAAAGGAAACCAAUUUCUCUUCUGUGUGAAGUGGAGACCUCUGCAGAAGUGGAAAGAAGUACUGGAAAAAGGAUCCAAGGUCUCCUUGGUGGUUCACAGGCUCAGUUUUCUCAACAGAAAUGGACUUUAACAUUACAUCUAAAAAUAGUACAUUUUAAGUCAUGCCCAAUAUGCAGGAAAUCAGGUGAAUCUUUUAAUUGGGAAUACUUGUAUUUCUUUGAGUUAUGGCUUAUUCUCUUCUGAGCCACUGGUUGUGAAACCCAGCUCUUCUGAGUGGGAGGUUAUAAGAUGUGCACAUUUCAAGUACCCAAGUGCCCUGCCAUGGCUUACCCAGAAUGUGGUCAUGUCCUCUGCACUGUUUUUAUUCCAAUGUUGCUAAUUCCAUUUGCUAAACAGUUUGCUAAGGGCUGACCAAGUUAACAGUUUAGAAAGACAAAAAUUCUAUAUCAGACCUAUUGUAGUAAAAAAAAAAACAACAACUUUAGGAAAGAAAAAACUGUCAUUUACACAAAGGCAGACAGUCUACAGUCUGUCUUUGGAAGUCCAGGGUGAAUCUUCUGCAGAGCCACUCUGAAAGAGCCUUCAUAACAAGUUUGUCACAAGGGAUGAAGGUGGGUGUUACUUGUUCCAGAAGCCUUCCCUUCAUUCAAAAUCAGAGGAGAAGAAGCCAAUGUUCUUCCCAGAACACCAGGGCAGUCAGAGUGAUAGUUCAGAGUGCUUGUCUGGCACACACUCAAAAGAUGCUGCUGCUGCUCAGGAAGUGUGAGGCACUAUCUUCCCACUUCAGGGCUUACUUUGAAACAACUGAACUAAUUAAAAAAAAAAAAAAAAAAAAAAAAGGAUAGGAAACACUUAAUAAAGUAAAGCAAGCCAGCAAACUUACAGGGUCCUGGUUGCCUCUAACAAAGGUGCUGGAUUGGUCUGCAGCUGUUUGGAAUAAUACCUGUGAAAGUCUAGCAUUUAGCAGGAAGUGCAAACACAGAAAAUGUCUUAAACACAGAAUCAGAAAAAAUUCCUAGCAUGUGCAAAUUCUGUGAGAGGUGAACUCUGUCCAGUCACUGUUAUAUGUUGCAAGAAGUUAUGACACAGAAAAGAAGCAUGUCCACAUAAGAUCUGUGCUACAAGCUCCUUCACAGAUCUCCCCCACAAAAGGGGUACCUGCUGUGCAAGUGUCAACCCCACCCAUCUUAAGGACCCAAGCCCUAGUACAGUAAACCAAGUGCACCUAAUUCACAACUAAAACAAAAAUAAUUACAAGGAAGUAAAAGAAAUGGCCAUUUAUCCUGCAAAGGUGUGUCAGUGCAGUCCAAGACACAUAUUCACUAACAGUAAUACUAACGUGAUGAGGUUUGCUCUUUGAGUAGACACAGCUUCAAAAGACAGCAAGCAUGAACAUGGCUCAGCUAACACCAGGAGAAAAACACUCUCUCUCUCUCUCUCUUAAAUUUUAAUUUAAUUUUUAAUAAUCCACAAAUCCAGAGAAUCCACACCUAAACAUUGUACAUUCAAAAGGGUGGGAAUCUAGAAAACAGCAAUAUGGCUCUUUACUGAAGAGAACAGGUAUUGUUUCCAUCAUUUGGAAACAGAAGUGUCUCUUUUCUCCUGUUCAGAAACCUUGACCAAAUCUAGUUGUCUACAUUUGGGAACAACAUGAGUGUAAAUCCCUCUUCCAGAUAUGUAAAACACAAAGCCCUGAUCAUAAAAGAGAGAGGCCAGCGCUGAUUUCAAUAUGAAUUAUAGCCAGAAGAGUUGUUUGAUUAAGGACCUACACCCAUUCAGCUGAAAAAGAUUUUCCUUCUUUGUGUAGUUACCUGGAAGAAUUUAGGUCCUGGCUUUACCUAUUGUCUGAAAGGUAUUCUUCCUAUAAACAUUUCAGCAGUGAACCUUAUUAAUGAAAACACCCAGUAAGAUGUGUAUUUUGAGCGUGAACUUCCAUAGUGAUACCCAGCUGGGUGUUUGUUUGGAAACAAUAUUUGUAGCAGACUUUGACCCUGACAUUAUAUAGGAUGCUUUGAUUUUGUAACAGAGGGUAAGUGCUACAAACUCUGUUGUUCACUAAUUAAUUCAUUUUCCAUUAAGAAGGGUAAAUUUGUCUUUGAAGGAAAUCAUUGGCUUUUAGCUACCCUGCACUCUUCUGCCUAUUACUGCAAUAUAUACUCAGAACUUUUAUUUCCUAAUAUUUCUGCUAUAGCUGGAAAUAGUAAAGAAAAACUCCUAAGUCUACUUUGACAGGAAUAAGAAAACCUCUAAUUUCAUGUAUAAAGAAACUGGAUCCUAUCUCAGGGCUCUCUAUUAUGAUACUGUGCAUUCCAUCUAACACAAAUGAUAUGCUAAAAAUUAAUGGAGUUACAGUAGUUAACAUAUUUCCAGAACUGAGUAAUGAAUAAAGUCAUAAAGAGACAGCAUUCAACAGAACCAAUGCCAGGAAUGGAAGGGGGAAAUAAAAUGUGAACCAAAGGAGUCACAAAGAGAAAAAGUACAGGAAGGGCUUUGAGACAUACAAAGGAAAAUAAAUAUUUCAACACCAGGGAAAUAGUUUUUAUAAAGCAAUUAUAAGGCAAACAAUUUUAGACAGAUUGAAGUGUUUGCAAGGAAAAAGAAAAUCUCUUUUGGUCUUACAACAACUGAGCAGUUCUUUCAGUGUAAAAUGAGUUCAUUCUUAUUACCACCACGUCUCAAAUUUUUUUGUCAGUACAAAUGCAUCCUCGGACAUGAGUUAAGGGAGUUAUUUUGUUGACAUUUUCCAUGAUAGCUAUGUUUUCAUUAAAGUAGCUUAUUACAGUUA